rnacentral:rRNA from 1 species
AUUGAACGCUGGCGGCAGGCCUAACACAUGCAAGUCGAACGGAGUGGCGGACGGGUGAGUAAUGUCUGGGAAACUGCCUGAUGGAGGGGGAUAACGUCCGGAAACGGGAGCUAAUACCGCUUACUAUCAGAUGAGCUGAGGUCGGAUUAGCUAGUUGGUGGGGUAAAGGCCUACGAAGGAGACGAUCCGUACCUGGUCUGAGAGGGUGAGCAGUCACACUGUAACUGAGACACGGUCCAUACUCCUACGGGAGGCAGCAGUGGGGAAUAUUGGACAAUGGGCGAAAGCCUGAUCCAGCCAUGCCGCGUGUGUGAAGAAGGUCUUCGGAUUGUAAAGCACUUUAAGUUGGGAGGCGUUACCAACAGAAUAAGCACCGGCUAACUUCGUGCCAGCAGCCGCGGUAAUAC